rnacentral:tRNA from 1 species
GGAGAGGUGGCAGAGUGGUCGAAUGCACCGCACUCGAAAUGCGGCAUACCUGGAAGAGUAUCGUGGGUUCAAAUCCCACCCUGUCCGCCG